GGCAAGAUGGCCGAGUGGUUAAGGCGGCAGAUUUAAGAGUUAUUUCACGGAAAUAACGAAAUCCCUGCUAUCGAGAGAUGCAUGGGUUCGAACCCCAUUCUUGCCA